rnacentral:rRNA from 1 species
GAUGAACGCUGGCGGCGUGCCUAAUACAUGCAAGUCGAGCGAACAGAUAAGGAGCUUGCUCCUUUGACGUUAGCGGCGGACGGGUGAGUAACACGUGGGUAACCUACCUAUAAGACUGGGAUAACUUCGGGAAACCGGAGCUAAUACCGGAUAAUAUUUCGAACCGCAUGGUUCGAUAGUGAAAGAUGGUUUUGCUAUCACUUAUAGAUGGACCCGCGCCGUAUUAGCUAGUUGGUAAGGUAACGGCUUACCAAGGCGACGAUACGUAGCCGACCUGAGAGGGUGAUCGGCCACACUGGAACUGAGACACGGUCCAGACUCCUACAGGAGGCAGCAGUAGGGAAUCUUCCGCAAUGGGCGAAAGCCUGACGGAGCAACGCCGCGUGAGUGAUGAAGGUCUUCGGAUCGUAAAACUCUGUUAUUAGGGAAGAACAUACGUGUAAGUAACUGUGCACGUCUUGACGGUACCUAAUCAGAAAGCCACGGCUAACUACGUG